rnacentral:lncRNA from 1 species
UAUACCACCGUGAUUUCUCUGCACCAACAGGGGAGGAUAAGUUGGAUAAGUCCAUACUACCAAAAGUCAUGCAGGUUAAACACUUUGGUCGUAGUGGAAGGACAAAAUGGACACAUCUUGUCAAUGAGGAUACAACAGAUUGGAACAACCCGUAAGUACCAUAAACCUUCUAUAUUACCUACUCAUCUUUCGAUCAAUGUCAUAUAGUUCAGCAGGAUUAGCAUUUGCAUCUUGUCAAUGAGGAUACAACUGAUUGGAACAACCCGUAAGUACCAUAAACCUUCUAUAUUACCUGCUCAUCUUUCAAUUAAUAUGUCACAUAAAUCAGCUGGAUUAGCAUUUCUAAAUGAUCCAUGCUUCAGUUGUUUGUUUCACAUUAGCAUUUGAUUUAUUGGUUUCAGUGCAACGGAAUAGUAACUUUCACAGGCU